rnacentral:misc_RNA from 1 species
CAUAAAGGGUUCGGAAGAUUAAAAAAAAAAGUAGCUAUCCGUUUGGUGGCGAUGGCGGAGGGGAACCACGCGUUCCCAUACCGAACACGACCGUUAAGCCCUCCAGCGCCAAUGGUACUUAGACCGCAGGGUCUUGGGAGAGUAGGACGUCGCCAAGCGGGUGUCAUGUUACACCUUCGCAGCAGCCGCAAGGCUCAGCUGUGAUUUACUUUGCACCUUGAAAACUGGAUAACGAAAGAAAAGAAAUGCUGAAACAUCCUUUAGCAAAGCAUAUGCUUUCGAAGUACUUUACUUCGUAAAGUUUAAGGUUUUUAAAGGAAGAGCGCACGGAGGAUACCUAGGCACACAGCGUUUAGAGG